AUGAUAGAAACAGAAACACAUACCAUGCAACCAAAUAAUGAAAAGAAAAUAUUAUCUAUAUAUAACUUAUUUCCUACAAAAUAAAUAGAGCCUAAAUUAAUUUUUUCAUGUGAGGUCCACUACAGUAGCUUGCAAAGCCUAGGUAAAAUAUUGGGUCCUAACUAGUAUAAUGAUGAUAAUGGAAUUAACAAGUGCUGCUAAAUGUUUGAUUACGAAACAGCAUUCGGUGAGCAAAGAACAAAUCAGCGAGGGAUAAAAUUAGUAAGUCCUUUAUCGAGCCUCCAAUGAGAAGGUGAUUUCAUUGGUUGAGUUUGAUUCGAGCUUGUCUGAUGAAGAAUUCGCUUCAGUAGGACCUCUAUCCUUAAAGAAACCAGGUUUCUGGGGCUGAGGCAAUUCUUUCUCACCACCCAACAUCAAAACAACAGAUGCCAUGCUUGGCCUUUCCUCAGGAUGUUGUUGAACGCAUAACAGACUGAUCUGGAUGCAUCGUAUCACUUCUGACAGAUUGCACGACUGUUCUAAGAAUGGAUCAAUCAGUUCUGAUGGCUCGCCUUCUUUCCACAAUGUCCAUGCUAAGUUCCAACUACUCUGUUUGUGUUUCCUUCAGUCUGGUCUCCUCCAAAAGUUUUAGCCAUGCCGAAAUCUGAAAUUUUGGGGUUCAUCUCUUGAUCCAGUAAAACAUUACUCGCUUUGAGAUCUCUAUGUACAAUUCGCAAUCUGGAAUCCUGAUGAAGAUAGAGAAGUCCUCUAGCAAUCCCACAAAUAAUGUUGAAACGCUUGGACCAGUCAAGCAGUUUACCUUUCAUUUGAUCAAAAAUGAAGUUGUCUAGGCUUUUAUUGGGCAUGUAUUCAUAAAUCAGCAUCUUCUCAUCCCCUUGAAUGCAGCAACCAAGAAGCUUUACGAGAUUUCGGUGUUGAAGUUUGGCUAUCAGAAUUACUUCAUUUUUGAACUCUUUCAAUCCUUGUCCAGAACUCCUAGAUAGCCUCUUCACAGCAAUCUCUUGUCCGUCCUCUAGUGUACCCUUGUAAACGGGUCCAAAACCACCUUCUCCUAGCUUGUUAUCAAUGGAAAAUUUGUUGGUCGCGUUACUUACUGCAAUUAGAUCAAACAAUGGCAGCUCCAAGUCUUCUGGUUGUUCAUCUUGCUCCUGGUCAUCAUUUUCCUUGUUUUCUGUUUUCUCUGCAAUGAAGUAUAAUCAUAUAAAAAAUUAUUAGCACUGAAUUGUAAACAGUUUUGCACAUCUGUUACAGUAAAUAUUCCAUAUCGUAAAAAUAAGAGCAAGUUCAGAUCACUUGGAUGUGCCAAAACAACAUCCCAAAACCUCUUAAGUUUGCUCUGCUUCUGCGAAUAUAGUAGCCGAUGAUAAGCAUCCCAAAACCUAUAGCAAUGGUAGUUGCAAUUAUCACUGGUAUCUUCACCUUAGCCUCAACCUUCGCCUCUUCAAGAAAAAGCAGAAACUAAAAACAGUUACUUAGUGCUAAAACAAACGGAAAUGUGCAAAACAUAGUUAACUUCUGCGACAAAUAGCAAAGAAAAUGUAGAUUGUGCAUCAACCUUUCAUCUUGACGCUCAAUGCAUGAACAGAAACAAAAAAGAAAGCCCAUACCUAAAUCAGAAGCAGACAUACGAAUAUAUAAAUCCUGCCCAGACGCAGACAGUCUCAUAUCAAUCAGAUCACCAAACCAAAUAGCACAGCCGCUGCCGCGUCCUCUAAUAUCUAAGGUGGUGUAUGCCGUACAUGAACAGUUUUGUAAACAUGUAACCCUGCAUUCCUUAAGAUUCAUACUCCUGUUCACAAAUGAAUGUGUAGUAUCUGGCAGUUUCAACCCAACAAAUUUUACAAAUCCCUCUCCAUUCUCACAUUUUAAUAAAUUAUUUCUUUUACAACCGUCAGACCAGAAUGCUGAUUUCCAAUUUUCUGGCGAAGCUGGAGUGAAACCCUUUAAGCAUUGACAAACUGGCGACUCAGUAGGGAUGCAAUUUCCAUAGGGACCACAGAGGCCGUAUGCGUCACAGGCAUCUCUUGGCACAGAUGAAUACAGCCUCCAAGUUCGUGUUUCUUCAUUCCAAGCGUAACGCUGACGCGAAUAACCGGUUUGAUUCAGAACAAUCCUUGAGAUUACAGAUUUGUUUUUCAGGUUGUACAUGUAGUACACCUCGUUUUCAUUAUCAACAAAACUGAACUCGUAGAGCUGGUUUUCCUUCAAAGAUGGCGAACCACUGUUGCCAAGGCCAUUCCAUGGAGCACUCCGAUAAUAUUUCACGAAGCCCUUCCAGAUAUAUCCCUCAGGAUUACCAUUUAGCACUAUUCCCCAAGUGAAGUCUGCAGGAGAAGGAUCAUCCGGGUUGUUCCAUGCUGAUAGGCGGCGAUCAAGGCCAGUCUUCAAGUCCCAUCCAAGCUUCAUCCCUGGAAGUAACGUAUCAGAUGGAUAGUCAAAACUUUGCCACAAAUAGUUUCCAGAAUUUGUAUCUUUUUCAUCCCUUAAGACCAGAUUCCCAGAAUCUAAGAGCCGAACUAUUGGAUUCUGGGCUACUUUGUUCAAGUUCAACGACCAAACAACACUCUUGUUCUCACUAACAAGUACAAGAUUUCCCGUGCUGUUCAUCAUCAAAAUACCAGAAGUAUCACUGAUUGGAUUGCGCCUGUUUGCAACCCAAACAACAGUUGUAGGAAUUGCCUUGUACCAAAUUCCCAAAUAUCGGUUGCUGGAUUUUCCAGGACUAAAGAAACCAAAU
rnacentral:misc_RNA from 1 species